rnacentral:pre_miRNA from 1 species
UGUGUACUCCCACCGUUCCAAAAUACUUGACUUCCAUUUGUCCAAAAAUGGAUGUACCUAUAUACUAAAACAUAUCUAGAUACAUAUAUAUUUUGACAAAUAGAAGGCAUGUAUUGUGCAACGGAGGGAGUAGAAU